rnacentral:rRNA from 1 species
GGCGGUAGGCCUAACACAUGCAAGUCGAACGGCAGCACAGAGGAGCUUGCUCCUUGGGUGGCGAGUGGCGGACGGGUGAGGAAUACAUCGGAAUCUACUCUGUCGUGGGGGAUAACGUAGGGAAACUUACGCUAAUACCGCAUACGACCUACGGGUGAAAGCAGGGGAUCUUCGGACCUUGCGCGAUUGAAUGAGCCGAUGUCGGAUUAGCUAGUUGGCGGGGUAAAGGCCCACCAAGGCGACGAUCCGUAGCUGGUCUGAGAGGAUGAUCAGCCACACUGGAACUGAGACACGGUCCAGACUCCUACGGGAGGCAGCAGUGGGGAAUAUUGGACAAUGGGCGCAAGCCUGAUCCAGCCAUACCGCGUGGGUGAAGAAGGCCUUCGGGUUGUAAAGCCCUUUUGUUGGGAAAGAAAUCCAGCUGGCUAAUACCCGGUUGGGAUGACGGUACCCAAAGAAUAAGCACCGGCUAACUUC